rnacentral:rRNA from 1 species
UCAACCGAGACUCCGGAAGUAGUGGCGAGCGAACCCGGACCAGGCCAGUGGCGAUGAUGAGACAAGCGGAACCUUCUGGAAAGUAGGGCCAUAGUGGGUGACAGCCCCGUACGCGUAAUGCAAAUCAUCGUCCUCGAGUAAGGCGGGACACGUGAAAUCCUGUCUGAAAUUGGGGGGACCACCCUCCAAGCCUAAGUACUCGUGCAUGACCGAUAGCGAACUAGUACCGUGAGGGAAAG